ensembl:lncRNA
GUUAUAAAAGCCGGAAAACGUCAACCUUAACGUUAUUGGUCAACGUGAGUUCAUGCGGGUCACACUGAGCCGCGGCACGUGUGAUUUUUCAUAGACAUAUAAACAUAGAAGCCGCAUUGGUUGGACGUACGCAAACGUCGCCGCCAUAUUGGAGAGGGCAAGACUGACCUGCAGACACACAAUUCAACGUGCGAGUUUCCGUGUUCUGGAUUCAAAGCACUGUUACGUUUACAAUUGAUUAAUGUAAUGUAAUGUAAUGAAAAAAACGCAUUCGACCGUUUACUUUGUUUACAGUUCAGUCUUGGCCUCUCCAAUAUGGCGGCGACUAUGACGGUCGAAUCAAUGCGGUCAUAUCAUUGGUUUCCAACCCCGGAAGUAUUCGUGAGCGUCAUCACCUUUGAGGGCAGACUCACUGGAAGUUGCAGCAGCUGAGACAACAUCAACAACAACAACAACAACAACAACAGCAAAGAGGAGCGCACAUUUAUGCUUUAGCCGGACAAUUAAUUCCAAACCCGUAGUAGACUGGGUAUCCCUGCCCUUUCUGCCGGCGAUUUUAGUUCGCCCUGUAGAAGGGUCUGGAAAAGACCAAUACAUUUAUUCUAGUUUCCAUACGUUUUUGUGGGAGCCAAUCACCAAACUGGCUUUUUUCCCCUGGCGCGCUAUUGGCUGGUUUAUUGCAAUGACGAUAGGGAAGCGAGGGCGUCAUUUGAACUAGGCCCAUUAAUCAAGCCUCUUGUGCUGAAGAAAAUGACAGCAGCUUCCCCAGACCAACGAGCAAUAUAUGAUUGAGCUUGGUCUUAUAAUAGCCAGGCUUUACCCGUAGCAGAACGUGUUCCUAGUAAACACGUGACGUAACGAGGCCGCGGGGGAGGAGGAGGACCAACUGUGUGACAGAGUGACGCUGGAGGUUACAAGACGUCCAUAAGUAUCCGUGCCCACAACCGCUCCGUCUGGUCUAUCGAAUACUUUCUAUUUUUGGUGGGUUUUUUUUAAAAGGUAUCCACUUUGUAUCUUAAAUGGCGCUGGUGACCGCGACCAGCCGACUGCUCCGCCUCACGAUACGGGUCAGUCCUCUGCGGACGGCGGCUGUUGCGUCGCCCCGAUACACGACGCUCUGCACCCCGGGGAGAACGGAUGCUCAGGGGGCAUGCUGCGUCCGUCGGAGAGACUUCACCACCUGCACGCAGAGACUCAGCAACGCGCAGCUUGUGUAAUCGCUUACAUAACAAUGCAAAGCCGGUGUAGCUGUGUGACUGCCCAAGGUUUCGACCAAGACAAGGUUUCCCCAUCCAGCAUCGGGUUGGGUAACGCUGGCCACCUGGGUUGAAGGUUGAUCUACGCUGUGGUGGUCCGGCCUUCGACGGGCUGACCUCGUCCCUGUGUGUCCACACGUCACUGGAGGAGGGG